UGCCAGCCGCCGCGGUAACACGGGGGGCGCAAGCGUUAUUCGGAAUUAUUGGGCGUAAAGCGCGCGUAGGCGGAAUGUUAAGUCUCAUGUGAAAGCCCUGGGCUCAACCUGGGAACUGCAUGGGAUACUGGCAUUCUAGAAUACAGUAGAGGGAGGUGGAAUUUCAGGUGUAGCGGUGAAAUGCGUAGAGAUCUGAAGGAACAUCAGUGGCGAAGGCGACCUCCUGGACCGAUACUGACGCUGAGACGCGAAAGCGUGGGGAGCAAACAGGAUUAGAUA
rnacentral:rRNA from 1 species